rnacentral:lncRNA from 1 species
AGUUAUCGUUUGUUGUUGGGUGUUUUCCCGUUUGGAAAUAUAAAUUAGAUCGUUGGUUUUCCUGUUCGAAUUGUGUACAAUACUAAGUUGUGGUCCCUUAUAGGCUUGCUGUUUGGUCUGGAUCAAAGCUCUGUGUAAAAGGCCGUACUUUGACCUAUGUUUGUUAUUAUCAGGUUAUCCCUCAGACAAGGGCCUUGAAGGGGUCAUUUUACCAUGUUUACUGUUGUAGAAAAGAAAAUAGAAAUACUAAGGAUUUGUAUAGUGCUACUAUACAAAACCUUUGAAAACUUAGAAUUUUUUACUCAAAAAGAGGAGAAAUACAUUAUAUUUUAAACAACUUUUCUAAAAGAGGGGUCCACUUAUUUUGAAUAAUAUUAAACUUUAAAGUUACAUGUAAAUGUGUUAACAUGGUUAAAGUCCAGUAAAAUUCUUGGACAUGUUUUGACCAUUUAAUACCAUAUAGAUAUUAUAGUUCUUUGGGAAAAUAUUAGCCCUUUUGUACUAAAAGUGUUUUUACAAAAAAAAAUAUAUUAUAACUUAUAUUGACCCCUCAUAAAAGGGAUAUUCAUAACAUUAAGGGGUUGUUCUGAACCUGAUUAUGACUUGGAUGGAGAAUUGUCUCAUUGUCAGUCACACAUACAUACUAGACCAAAUUUAAUAAUUCAAUUAUCUGAUUAUUUCUUGUUGAACAGGGAAAAAUACUUCAUAAAUUAAAGAAAUGUCAAGGUACAAGUGAUAAAUCAAGUUUUAAUAUAGUGAAAAC